UACGAAGGGGGCUAGCGUUGUUCGGAAUUACUGGGCGUAAAGCGUGCGCAGGCGGUUAUGCAAGACAGAUGUGAAAUCCCCGGGCUCAACCUGGGAACUGCAUUUGUGACUGCAUGGCUAGAGUACGGUAGAGGGGGAUGGAAUUCCGCGUGUAGCAGUGAAAUGCGUAGAUAUGCGGAGGAACACCGAUGGCGAAGGCAAUCCCCUGGACCUGUACUGACGCUCAUGCACGAAAGCGUGGGGAGCAAACAGG
rnacentral:rRNA from 1 species